rnacentral:rRNA from 1 species
CCUACGGGGGGCAGCAGUGAGGAAUAUUGGUCAAUGGCCGCAGGGCUGAACCAGCCAAGUCGCGUGAGGGAUGACGGUCCUAUGGAUUGUAAACCUCUUUUGUCAGGGAGCAAAGGGCGCCACGUGUGGCGUUUUGCGAGUACCUGAAGAAAAAGCAUCGGCUAACUCCGUGCCAGCAGCCGCGGUAAUACGGAGGAUGCGAGCGUUAUCCGGAUUUAUUGGGUUUAAAGGGUGCGCAGGCGGAAUGUCAAGUCAGCGGUAAAAUUUCGGGGCUCAACCCCGUCGUGCCGUUGAAACUGGCGUUCUUGAGUGAGCGAGAAGUAUGCGGAAUGCGUGGUGUAGCGGUGAAAUGCAUAGAUAUCACGCAGAACCCCGAUUGCGAAGGCAGCAUACCGGCGCCCUACUGACGCUGAGGCACGAAAGUGCGGGUAUCGAACAGGAUUAGAUACACUGGUAGUC